CCUACGGGAGGCAGCAGUGAGGAAUAUUGGUCAAUGGACGAGAGUCUGAACCAGCCAAGUAGCGUGAAGGAUGACUGCCCCAUGGGUUGUAAACUUCUUUUAUAAAGGAAUAAAACGAGGCACGUGUGCCUUUUUGCAUGUACUUUAUGAAUAAGGAUCGGCUAACUCCGUGCCAGCAGCCGCGGUAAUACGGAGGAUCCGAGCGUUAUCCGGAUUUAUUGGGUUUAAAGGGAGCGUAGAUGGGUUGUUAAGUCAGUUGUGAAAGUUUGCGGCUCAACCGUAAAAUUGCAAUUGAUACUGGCAGUCGUGAGUACAGUUGAGGUAAGCGGAAUUCGUGGUGUAGCGGUGAAAUGCUUAGAUAUCACGAAGAACCCCGAUUGCGAAGGCAGCUUACUAAACUGUGACUGACAUUGAUGCUCGAAAGUGUGGGUAUCAAACAGGAUUAGAUACCCGUGUAGUC
rnacentral:rRNA from 1 species